rnacentral:rRNA from 1 species
GAUCAUGGCUCAGGAUGAACGCUAGCUACAGGCUUAACACAUGCAAGUCGGAGGGGCAGCAUGAACUUAGCUUGCUAAGUUUGAUGGCGACCGGCGCACGGGUGAGUAACACGUAUCCAACCUUCCGUUUACUCAGGGAUAGCCUUUCGAAAGAAAGAUUAAUACCUGAUAGUAUGGUGAGAUUGCAUGAUAGCACCAUUAAAGAUUUAUUGGUAAACGAGUGGGGAUGCGUU